AUCUCUUCUCAGCCUUUUGGCUAAGAUCAAGUGUAGUACAUCAGUAAUGUUAUUUUGGUUGACUUAUA
ensembl:snRNA U2 U2 spliceosomal RNA